rnacentral:tRNA from 1 species
GUACGUCCGCGGCGCGGGCGCGGCCCCCGGCCUGCUGGGCCGGGCCGUCCGCCGGGCCCAGACCGGCAACGUGCA